rnacentral:rRNA from 1 species
AAUCAACGCUGGCGGCGUGCCUCAGACAUGCAAGUCGAACGCGAAAGUUUCCUUCGGGAGAUGAGUAGAGUGGCGCACGGGUGAGUAACACGUAGGUAAUUUACCUUUGGGUGGGGAAUAACAAUCGGAACGAUUGCUAAUACCGCAUAAUGCAGCGGCUCGACAUCGAGACAGUUGUUAAAGCGGGGGAGUUUCGGUACCUCGUGCCUAAAGAAGAAGCCUGCGGCGGAUUAGUCNGUUGGCGGGGUAAGUAGCCCACCAAGGCAACGAUCCGUACGCCGGCCGUGAGGAGGGCGGUCGGGCCACACUGACACUGAAUAACGGGUC